AUUGAACGCUGGCGGCAGGCUUUACACAUGCAAGUCGGACGAGUGGCGGACGGGUGAGUAAUGCUUGGGAAUCUAGCUAGUAAUGGGGGAUAACCAAGGGAAACUGUAGCUAAUACCGCGUACCAUAGGAUGAGCCCAAGUGGGAUUAGGUAGUUGGUGGGGUAAAGGCUCACCAAGCCGACGAUCACUAGCUGGUCUGAGAGGAUGACCAGCCACACUGGGACUGAGACACGGCCCAGACUCCUACGGGAGGCAGCAGUGGGGAAUAUUGAGCAAUGGGGGCAACCUGACGCAGCCAUGCCGCGUGAAUGAAGAAGGCCUUCGGGUUGUAAAGUUCUUUCGUUAGCGAGGCGUUAACUACAGAAUAAGCACCGGCUAACUCCGUGCCAGCCGCCGCGGUAAUUC
rnacentral:rRNA from 1 species